GGAGUCAGGCAGCGGGAGAUAAGUUCCGUUGCCGAGAGGGAAAGAGCCCAGACCGUCAGCUAAGGUCCCAAAGUCUGUGCUUAGUGUCAAAGGAUGUGGAGGCGCAUUGACAGCCAGGAGGUUGGCUUAGAAGCAGCCAUCCUUUAAAGAAAGCGUAAUAGCUCACUGGUCAAGCGAAUCCGCGCCGAAAAUAUAACGGGGCUCAAGCACAGCACCGAAGCUACGGACUCAGCGCAAGCUGAGUGGUAGAGGAGUACUCUCAAGCAGAUACGCGGUGUACCGACAAGGGGCACUAACGGGCUUGAGAGGAGCUUAUGUAGGGAUGAGUAGCGAUAAACUGGGUCAAAAACCCAGUCGCCGUAAGCCCAAGGUUUCCUGGGGUUAGGAUAAGCCUCCCAUGGGUUAGUCGGGUCCUAAGCUGAGGCCGAGA
rnacentral:rRNA from 1 species